GCCGAGGUGGUGGAAUUGGCAGACACGUGAGACUCAAAAUCUCAAGUUGCUUAGGCGGCGUGCGGGUUCAAGUCCCGCCCUCGGCACCA
rnacentral:tRNA from 1 species